rnacentral:rRNA from 1 species
UGAGAGUCGAGCGGUAACAGGGGUAGCUUGCUACCCGCUGACGAGCGGCGGACGGGUGAGUAAUGCAUAGGAAUCUGCCCGGUAGUGGGGGAUAACCUGGGGAAACCCAGGCUAAUACCGCAUACGUCCUACGGGAGAAAGGGGGCUCCGGCUCCCGCUAUUGGAUGAGCCUAUGUCGGAUUAGCUAGUUGGUGAGGUAAAGGCUCACCAAGGCAACGAUCCGUAGCUGGUCUGAGAGGAUGAUCAGCCACAUCGGGACUGAGACACGGCCCGAACUCCUACGGGAGGCAGCAGUGGGGAAUAUUGGACAAUGGGGGCAACCCUGAUCCAGCCAUGCCGCGUGUGUGAAGAAGGCCCUCGGGUUGUAAAGCACUUUCAGCGAGGAAGAACGCCUAGUGGUUAAUACCCAUUAGGAAAGACAUCACUCGCAGAAGAAGCACCGGCUAACUCCGUGCCAGCAGCCGCGGUAAUACGGAGGGUGCAAGCGUUAAUCGGAAUUACUGGGCGUAAAGCGCGCGUAGGUGGCUUGAUAAGCCGGUUGUGAAAGCC